AUGCCGCUGAAGAAGCGCAGCAGCCGGCGCUCCGAGGCCGCGCCGGGGCCGGCGGCGGCGGCCCGCGCGCGCUCCAGCCGCUGCAGGUCGCUGUUGUCCAGCGUGCGGUUCUUGCUCUUGCUGCACUCCCAGCGCUCCGCGUCCCGAGCGCGCGUCGCCCUUGUUGAGCACCUCGCCCACGUCCAGGGUGUUGCGCUUCUCCGACGCCGGCUGCGCGGCGGCCCCGUCGCCCGCAUCCCAGGUCAGGCUCCCGGAGCUGCCGUGGCGCCUCCCGACGCCCAGGGGCGGGCUCUCCUCCGGGCCGCUCCAGUGCCUGAAACUGAGGCUCCGCCGCAGGGGCGCGGCCCGGGCCCCCUCCAGGUCGGGGCUGCUGGGACCCUCCUCCGCAGCCGGAGGGCCGCCGCCGGCCAGGUCCACCGGGUCCGGGCCGCGAGCGCACGGCCGGAGCCGCCCCAGCUCCAGCUGCCCGGUGCUGCGGGUCCGGAAAGUGCGCAAGUCCCAGGCGCGCGGCUCGCGGUCCUCGGAGUCCUCAGCGCCCGCCGCCUCCUCGGCCUCCUCCACGAGCCGCCCAGGCGCGUCCGGGGAGCGCGGGGGCCGGGGCCGCCGAGCAGGGCGCGGGUCGGGGCCGGACGCGGCCAGCUGCUCCUUCCUGACCAUGGUCACGGAGAUGCGGUAGACCGUCUUCCUGGGGGGCGUCCCGCGAGGCAUCGCGUCCGCGGGCGGCGACGCGGGCUCGCCGCUGCUGUCCAGCAGCUCCGACAGACUGGCCUCCUCCUGUGUGUGCCCCCGCACCCUCUCACCCACGUCUCCCACCACACCUCCUCCCAGGCUCCUGGCCUCCACCCUGGAAGGCAGCAGAAGCAUCCGGAAACAAUUAGAUCAACAAGGCGACGGGGCAUCCAGAACCUUCCGCGCUUCUCAGCAGACACCCAGCCCGGCCACAGCAAGGACACACGCCACCCCCCCCCCCCCCGGCCUGCUGCAAGGACAGCUCUGACGCAGGAUCCCGCCCUCGUGGAGACACCGCGCGGUCUAGCGGAAAAGGCACACAGACGAGAGGGAGCACGCACGCGGGGCCCACCAAGGCUCUGGUGGUCUUGAGCACCUCCACGUUAAUGACCUCGACUGUGGCUGAGCCGGCUACGGCUGCCGGCACAAGCGCCACACACAGGUCUGUGUUCUCAGCGGUGCGAGGCCAGGCCACCACGGCGGCAGGCUGGCUUCUGCGGAGGCUCCCUCGCCCUGCGCCCCUCGUGGCCACGCCCCCCACAUGUAUCUGCAUGCUGACCUCCUGCUCCUCCAAGGUCACUGGCUGGGGCUGUGCCCCCCACUGCCCUAGGGUCCUUACGUCCACAUUUAGUCACACCGUGACAACGAUCCUGGGGCCACAGCUCGGGCCACAGCACUCACCGAACAAUAACAACGAGAGCCCAGGAUUCAUAAAAUCCCCCUCCUCAGCAAACACCCAAAGACACGGCAACUGCAAGGCCGGCUCGGCCCAGGCUAAGCAGCGGCCGAAGACCAGAGCAGGUGUUCGCGGUCGGAGGGGGAGGGUCUCCCAGCCUCCACUCCGGCAGAGCGGACCAGGGCCCCCCAGGCACCGUACUCCGUAGGGAAGCUGGGAAACCCGCUGUCUACGACAGGGCUGGGGUCAGCUGUUCUGGGCUCUGCCUCCCACCUCCCACGGGUGCGCGAAGCCACGUGUCCAGCUCGGAUGCUGUGUCAUCUCCUGCGUGUCUGCAGACAGCAACUCCGCGAAAGACCCCUAGUGUACCCCCGGUGAUGGGACUGCUCCCCACUUCCUCUAGGGCCCAUGUGCCAAAGCCCCGCCCCGUUUGCUUCAGGUCCAUGGGGGUCACAGGCUUUGUUAAAUGCAAUGGUUUCUUGUUCUGUUUGUCUGCAAGGCAACCCUAGAAGCGAGAACAGGAUGCCUGCCCUGAGCGUGGUCUCCAGCACGGCACGGAGCCCCGGGGUACAGGAGAGCCUGGUUCUCCACCGCUCGUCCUCAUCCGCGGCCAUCACCAGCAGCGACCCCCGUGGCCGGCCGCUGGACAAUCGCACGUCCUUGCGGGGAUGCAGGGGCGCAGCCUGGACGCGGCACUGCUGGGUUUCCUGCUGGAGUCUGCAGCCCCGCAAGUUACUCGCUGGAACCCCCCACCUCCAGUGACUGCCGCACCCAGCCCCGCACAGGACCACCCCCUUUUCUGUGAGUCUCCAGACCAAAACCCAGGAUCCUGUCUCAGUAAAGAGUCCCUCACAGCACCCAGGACAGCGCCUCAAAUAAAACCAACAAAUAAACCA
ensembl:lncRNA